GAUGAUCAGGCAAGAAAGCAACAUCAGCCUGAGCUGCUCCUGGAACACCUUGGAGGUCAUGGACAGAUAAACACAGAUGGAAACAAAGAACAGGUCACCAAACAGCUUUCAUGUAGACAUGAGACACAGGAACCAGUAUUCUAGAAGGAAGAAGUUCCAUGUUCCAGUUUCUUUAAUGACUGAAUCUCAUGCCUGCAACAAGAGAUUGUCCUCAUCAAUAUACCAACAUCUCCAGCCCAACAUUCCCCUACUGAAGGCAAGGCUGGUGGCAUUCCCUGCUAUUAAGGUUAUCUAAUACUUUUUACAAUAAGUCCUUGUUUGCCCAACUUAAACCUUCUGGGCGUUAUUUUUUUUCUGGAUGUCUAGACAUUAUUUUCCAGCCAAAAUGGGAAAGAGAUUAUGGGAAGGUACAUUGUUUUCCCCAUGUUUAAAAAUUCUGGAAAUUUGAGCAUCCAACUGGGAGGAUGUGACAAGGACGAGAUGUGAAUUUCAGGGCAGAACAAGUAGAAUGUGAGUUCACUAAAGCACAGUCACAUUCAGAGCCUAGAGUAGGACUCAUGAUUGCUAAUUUCUUCUGUUGUUAGUAAUUUUUUUUUUUGGUGAAACCCACUAGCACAGUUUGUUUCUCCUUCUAGUGCUGCUCUGCAAGCAUGAUAACAACCUAGCACUCUCAUCAUCUACUACAUUAGCUUAAGCAGUAGAAGUUUGCAUUACAAUUCUAAAGUUGCUGGUGAAAUGCAGUUCUCCAUAUGGAAUUCCUGGAAUAUUUUUGGGGGUGUUGGUUGUAGCCAUGUUGG